GUGAAUAUAGGACGUCCAACUUAACUUGGAGUCCGAACUCUCACUUUCUAACCCUGUGCAUCUGUUAAUUGGACUAGUAGCUCUUCGGAGUGAACCGCCAUUCACUUAUAAACACAAAGUCUAUGAAUGUAUACAAAUUUAUAACAAAACA
rnacentral:misc_RNA from 1 species